rnacentral:rRNA from 1 species
UACAGAGGUCUCAAGCGUUGUUCGGAUUCAUUGGGCGUAAAGCGCGUGUAGGCGGCUGAGUAAGUCUGCUCUGAAAGCCCGGGGCUCAACCCCGGGAGGCGGGUGGAUACUGCUCAGCUCGAGUCCGGAAGAGGAGUGUGGAAUUCCUGGUGUAGCGGUGAAAUGCGCAGAUAUCAGGAGGAACACCAAUGGCGAAGGCAGCACUCUGGGACGGUACUGACGCUGAGACGCGAAAGCGUGGGGAGCGAGCAGG